AGGAAAAGAAACUAACAAGGAUUCCCCUAGUAACGGCGAGUGAACCGGGAAGAGCUCAAAUUUGAAAUCUGGCCUUUGGGUCCGAGUUGUAAUCUAUAGAGGCGUUUUCCGCGCCGGACCGUGUCCAAGUCCCUUGGAAUAGGGUAUCAAAGAGGGUGACAAUCCCGUACUUGACACGACGACCGGUGCUAUGUGAUACGUCUUCGACGAGUCGAGUUGUUUGGGAAUGCAGCUCAAAAUGGGUGGUAAAUUCCAUCUAAAGCUAAAUAUUGGCGAGAGACCGAUAGCGAACAAGUACCGUGAGGGAAAGAUGAAAAGCACUUUGGAAAGAGAGUUAAACAGUACGUGAAAUUGUUAAAAGGGAAACGAUUGAAGUCAGUCGUGUCGGUCGGAUUCAGCCUGGUCUCCAGGUGUAUUUCCUUCCGACGGGUCAACAUCAGUUUGGAUCGGUGGAUAAAGACGGAGGGAAGGUGGCAUCCUCGGAUGUGUUAUAGCCCUCUGUUGCAUACGCUGGUCCGGACUGAGGCAUGCAGCUCGCCUUCAUGGCCGGGGUUCGCCCACGUUCGAGCUUAGGAUGUUGACGUAAUGGCUUUAAACGACCCGU
rnacentral:rRNA from 1 species